AAAAACUGAAUGCUUAAGGUGGUACCUAACACUACAGGGAGAUAACUCUGUAAUAUCAGCUAAACGUUUUAAUUACGUUGCGUUGUGAAGGCAAUAUAAAGCUUCUCAAUGAUCAAAAUUAGUGUUUGUCAAACUGCUAUAUAACCAGUGUAAUUUUUCUGAUAAAACGCUUGGUUCAAAUUUUUUCAUUUUUUUUAUAUUUUUGUUAAAGGGUCAAAGUAAAUACUUUGUAAAAAUUUUAUGAAAAUUAAACGAGCCAAAUUAAUUUUAGUGAAAGUGUUGGGUACCACCUUAA
rnacentral:lncRNA from 1 species